rnacentral:rRNA from 1 species
UACGUAGGGUGCGAGCGUUAAUCGGAAUUACUGGGCGUAAAGCGUGCGCAGGCGGUUAUGUAAGACAGUUGUGAAAUCCCCGGGCUCAACCUGGGAACUGCAUCUGUGACUGCAUAGCUAGAGUACGGUAGAGGGGGAUGGAAUUCCGCGUGUAGCAGUGAAAUGCGUAGAUAUGCGGAGGAACACCGAUGGCGAAGGCAAUCCCCUGGGCCUGCACUGACGCUCAUGCACGAAAGCGUGGGGAGCAAACAGG